UACGGAGGAUCCAAGCGUUAUCCGGAAUCACUGGGCUUAAAGGGUCCGUAGGCGGGACAGGAAGUCAGUGGUGAAAGUCUGCAGCUCAACUGUAGAACUGCCAUUGAUACUGUUGUUCUUGAGUGUUUAUGAAGUGGUUAGAAUAUGUAGUGUAGCGGUGAAAUGCAUAGAUAUUACAUAGAAUACCGAUUGCGAAAGCAGAUCACUAAUAAAAUACUGACGCCGAUGGACGAAAGCGUAGAUAGCGAACAGG
rnacentral:misc_RNA from 1 species